AUACGGGGGGGACUAACGUUGUUCGGAUUUACUGGGCGUAAAGGGUGCGUAGGCGGACCUUCAAGUCGGAUGUGAAAACUAUAGGCUCAACUUAUAGCUUGCAUUCGAUACUGUCGGUCUUGAGUGAAUUAGAGGAAAGCGGAAUUCCAGGUGUAGCGGUGAAAUGCGUAGAUAUCUGGAGGAACACCAGUAGCGAAGGCGGCUUUCUGGGAUUAUACUGACGCUGAAGCACGAAGGCUAGGGGAGCAAACAGGAUUAGAAACCCUAGUAGUCC
rnacentral:rRNA from 1 species